GCCAGCAGCCAUAUCACCAUGCAACUCACAACUGGCAACCCACCAAAGCUCAGCAGGUAUGAACCUGGUCAGUACCUGGAUGGGAGACCUCCUGGGAAAAACUGAGGUUGCUGCUGGAA
rnacentral:rRNA from 1 species